rnacentral:misc_RNA from 1 species
GUCUCUACCAAUAGCAUCAGUUAAGGAACGACUAGUUGAGGAGGUUAAAACCCAUGAUAUUUUGAUCAUUGUUGGUGAAACUGGAAGUGGAAAAACAACUCAAUUACCUCAGUUUUUAUUCAAUGCUGGGUUCUGUUGCGAUGGAAAAGUUAUUGGGAUAACUCAACCUAGGCGUGUUGCGGCGGUCUCCGUGGCAAAACGGGGGG